AAUCAACGCUGGCGGCGUGCCUCAGACAUGCAAGUCGAACGCGAAAGUCCCCUUCGGGGGACAAGUAGAGUGGCGCACGGGUGAGUAACACGUAGGUAAUCUACCUUCGGAUGGGGAAUAACAACCGGAAACGGUUGCUAAUACCGCAUAAUGCAGCGGCACCUAAUGGUGACAGUUGUUAAAGCGGGGGAUCGAAAGACCUCGCGUCUGAAGAGGAGCCUGCGGCGGAUUAGCUAGNGGUAAGGUAAUGGCUUACCAAGGCGACGAUCCGUAGCCGGCCUGAGAGGGGCGGUCGGCCACACUGACACUGACAUACGGGUCAGACUCCUACGGGAGCAGCAGUCGGGAAUUUGGGCAAUGGGCGAAAGCCUGACCCAGCAACGCCGCGUGAAGGAUGAAAUCCCUCGGGAUGUAAACCUCUUUCAGCUCCGACGAAGACGGAAGUGACGGUAGGAGCAGAAGAAGCACCGGCCAACUACGUGCCAGCC
rnacentral:rRNA from 1 species